UCCCUCCCUGCUCCAGGGAACACAAUCGAUGCCGAUGUGAGCUCGCUAGACCACUGUGUGUUGGAAGGUCGUGUAUGUGAGCAUUUUGUUUCCAGCGCCAGUUGCAUGAUUUUCGCCCCAUAGAGGAUCGUCUUCAAAAAGGAGACGAGCGUUCCCACUCCAGCGCCGUGUUGGUGUUAUUACACUCACAACUUUUGCUGUCUAAAAGGGAAAACCGUUUCCACGGUGCCGACUAGACAGCAGAAAGACGAAUUGAAUGUAGCAGGACUGGGGGAGAAAAGAAUCUCCUUUCAAGGUUGUGACAGCAGUUGUGAAGGAUUCAGAAGCCAGUUAUUCGAAUCUUAUCCCAAACUGAGUGAGGGUGGUGGAUUUGAACUAAUGAAGAUUUCAGGAUCUACGAGAAGCUGGAUCUUGGCUGUUAGUCCUUGCCCUAAUGAGGGGUACUCGGCAAAAUAUUUAAGGGACCCAGAAACCCAAAUUGUCUGCUGCAAUUCAUUUUGUAGGUUCCUGGACUGUCCUUAUCCACUGGGCCCCUGAUGAAGUGCCUCUUUUGUGAGAGACUUUUCUUUCUCAGAAAUAGUCACAGUGACAGCUGUAGCAGCAGUGAAGAAGACAAAAGCAUUAUACUGCAAUUGGCAUUAAGCUGGGAUCUUCCAGGGGUGACAGAAGAAAAUAGGCAUUGGCUAAUGGACAAACUCCUCCUUCACGCUGUUAUUGUAAGAACAACUCGACAGGUUAAACAGCUGAGGAAAGGACUGAAAGAGACAUUGGUCUGGCCUCUCCUGAAGGAAAGAAGUGAUAUUAUUCCACUGAUGUUUCCGAGGGCCUCUGACACACUAUACACCUCCCCGAUGAUCCUUGAAAGAAUCACCUGGCCCACACUGAAUGUGGAGGAAGAUGAUGAUGAGGAUGACUGUUCUCUUGAGACUAAAUGCCGUAUCACAGGCUUCUUCAGGACAUUCAUUGAAACGCAUCACCAAGAGUGCUGAUUGAUCUCCUCAGAUUCUGGGUUGGAUGGGGGGUCCUCCCGAAGGAGCUGUCUGUUGAGGUCACAGAUACCAAACUGCCCAAAGCAUCCACCUGCUUCGAAACCAUUAAACUACCCAGACACGACUUUCACUACUCAUCAUUUGAGGAGGAUCUUCUUUCCUGUAUAUAUACUGUGGACACCGGCUUUGGACUUGUCUAAUUUAGAAUUCUGCCAUGAGAAAUCUGUUUGAACUCCUUCAGGGGCCAAACUGUUAUUUGAUUUGACAACUAGAAAUGUAAACAUGACAAAGUAAAAAAAAAACAUCCAGGUUAAUGUUCUGCUAUAUAAAUACUAAAUGUACUAAGAAAGAAAUUCAAAUUAACGACUGGCAAUUUUAUUAGGCCAUUUUAUUAUUUUGAUUACAAUAAAUAAUGCACUGGGGGGGGGGGGGGCAACAACAUUUUUUUUUUCUUCUAAAAUACUUGCUUAAGUUUGUGAAAACAUCUGUUAAAUAUCAACAUAAGCACAGGAACUAUUGUCAUUUAUUUAUUUAACAAAGUCAGUGCUAUGACAAAAAAUACAGCUGUCCCAAACAAUAAAAAAAUCAUCACAUUUGGAUGUCUGUUUCUUUAUAA